rnacentral:ncRNA from 1 species
AUAAAGGCGAAGAAGGAGAGAGUAGGCUAAGAACAGCUUCUACAGGGAGGGUGAUCAUAGACUGGAAGUCACCCGUGGCUGCUUAGCUGAAGUUCGCUCCGGAGCUUCCUGAUUGAAUACUAGUAGGUCAGGACGGUGCUACCGUUAUUGCUAUUAAGAGGGUAUUAUACCAAAUUUGGGUGGUACCGCGGAAGUGUAGCUUUCGUCCCAUUG